rnacentral:rRNA from 1 species
AAAUAAGGAUUGACAGAUUGAGAGCUCUUUCUUGAUUUUGUGGGUGGUGGUGCAUGGCCGUUCUUAGUUGGUGGAGCGAUUUGUCUGGUUAAUUCCGUUAACGAACGAGACCUUAACCUGCUAAAUAGUACGUUGAUGCAUAAUUGGCGUUACUUCUUAGAGGGACUAUGCGCUUUGAAACGCAUGGAAGUUUGAGGCAAUAACAGGUCUGUGAUGCCCUUAGAUGUCCUGGGCCGCACGCGCGCUACACUGAUGCACUCAACGAGCAUAUAACCUUGGUCGAGAGGCCUGGGUAAUCUUGUUAACAUGCAUCGUGAUAGGGAUAGAUUAUUGCAAUUAUUAAUCUUGAACGAGGAAUUCCUAGUAAUCGCAGAUCAUCAAUCUGCAAUGAUUACGUCCCUGCCCUUUGUACACACCGCCCGUCGCUCCUAC